GACGAACGCUGGCGGCGUGCUUAACACAUGCAAGUCGAACGGUGAACCUCUUCGGAGGGGAUCAGUGGCGAACGGGUGAGUAACACGUGGGCAACCUGCCCCCGGCUCUGAGAUAACUCCAAGAAAUUGGGGCUAAUACCGGAUGUUCACCGCUUCCCGCAUGGGUGGUGGUGAAAAGGGUUUCCGGCUGGGGAUGGGCCCGCGGCCUAUCAGCUUGUUGGUGGGGUAGUGGCCUACCAAGGCGACGACGGGUAGCCGGCCUGAGAGGGUGACCGGCCACGCGGGGAGGGAGAGACGGCCCGGCGCCAUGGGGGGGGCAGAGGGGGGAAAUGUUGGGCAGGGGGGGGAGGCCGGACGCAGCGCCCCCGCGGGGGGGAGGGCGGCCUUCGGUUUGAAAACCUUUUUCAGCGGGGACGAAGGGAAGGGGAGGUCCCGGGAAAAAGAACCCCCGCCAACCGCGUGC
rnacentral:rRNA from 1 species